AGUAAAUCGUCGAAGCUGUGCUCCAUCACUUCGGCGCUCAAGUUCGUCGUAAGAAAGAAGACCAACUCCCUCAAGGGACUCAUGAUCACGUAGUUCUGAAAGUCCACGAACUUCACGCCGUCGAUACUGCCGGAUUGUUGAUCUCUGUGAAACAUGAAGUUGUUGAUCCAGAAGUCCGCGUGGAUCACAGUGGACCACGGUUCCGGGGUGGGUCUAUCCAGAGCUUUUAUUGGUCCAGACCUGAAAGAUAAUCAUCUCAAGAGUGCGUUAAGGCGAGGCAGUGACAACAGCUCUUGAUUAUUUCUGCAGCAGAGAGUAGCGCUUGAUACCAGCUGACGUCGUGCUACGGUCUGUCUAGACAGCAUGCCAUUAGAUCAUCUUCAGGCAGAUACUUUAUUGCAUGCUCUUUGUAGGAAACACGAUAUAAACUAUGAAAUGAAAAAUAAAAUGUACCAAUUGCAAAUUUUAUUAAAAUGUAUCAUACUUUGUACAAGCUAGCAAACCCUUCAAGGAAGCAAGCUGAAUACAAUAAACCUUUUUUAAAAA